GUGUGUGUGUUAGAACUUAUCUGUGUGUUUGAAAGAAGAGAAAGGGAGAGGUAUUUAUAGCUUUUUUUGAAAACGAGUAACAGUAGGGAAAGCAGUAUAGUUUAACACAAAUAAGGAAAGGAUCACAAGUCAGAAUCAAUUAACCCAAGUGAUUCCUCUUUAAUUAGGGAAUCAUUGUCAAACAGGUGUCAACAAAGUCUAAUUAAGGAAAGAAAAUCAGUUUGAGGGACAAAUUGAGUAUUACCAUAUAAAAGGCAGUAAAAUCAUGAAGGAUACAAUGGAGUCUAAAUACAAAAUAAACCUAUUUUAGGAGAGGAUUCAGCAAGGUAAACCCUCACAGCAUAAGUGGCUCAAUAGAGUAGGUGGCCUAAAGCCAAAUCUUAACAUGAGGCCUUAGACAUAUUUAAUAAAAUUUCCAUAUUUUUCUUUUUGACGUUUAUUUUUUUGCCUUUGCAUGUGCAAAAUUGCUAAUUACUUAUUUUAUGAUCAAUUUUUAUAGAGCAAUUUUUACGAGGUUCGAUCAAUUUUGGUACUUCCUAGGACACAACCAAUGUUUUAUUCCACUCCAAAAAUACAAGUGAAAUAAUACUAAUGAAAGAAGAUACAAAUUCCUUAAAAAGAUAAAAAAACAAAUGAGAGGUGUGUUUAAAUCCUGAAUAUUAGGCCUUUUUUAUAGGGUGAAAUUCUCCCCCAAAUAAAGUACCCCAUGGAUGUGGGAUGAACUUUUGACAUAUUUAACAAUAAUUUAUAAAUAUAUAAAAAGGGUAAAUUUUGGGGCCUCCUAUUUUUGGGGGCCUAACGCUUUGGCCUUAGUGGCCUGGGGGUCGAGCCGGCACUGCAUCACAACAAAGGGAAAAUGAAUUAGUUAAUCUUUUCAAACAUGCGAGUGAAAUUAGGGCUAGUAAGAAAACUUUUGAAAUCAGUCACGAAACCAAUGAAAUCAAGAUCAAUCAGGGAGAGAGCAUGAUUCUGCAAUUCGUAUAAAUAGCAAGGGGUGAAUAAACAUGCCGAGUUAAACACAUAUUGAUAAAGAAGCAAUACAAACAUACAAGAGCCAUAGACGCAAGCUAGUGUUAGUUAGUAAGAAAAUAUUCAAAGCACAGUAGUCACAUAGGUCAAGUAGUCACAUGAAAUCGACAAUGAAAAAGAAAUAUAGUACCAGGUAAGAGAAAUCAAAAGCAAGUAAAGGGUCUCAGCAUAGUAAGAAACUUCUAAGAAUUUUAGGGCUUUUACGGUAGCUGAGUUUUAAAGAUGGUAAGGACUCAGAAUCAACAGAUCAAACAAGGAAAAAAGGCUCAGAAACAAAGAACAAGUACACAUGUAGAAAAACAGUUUCAAAACUCGGAUAAACUAGGGCUUUUAACAUGCUAAAACAAAUAGAAUAAUAACACGAGUAGACCAUAACCAAAUCACAAACAUAUAAGAAAAAUCAGAGAUUUUUUAAAUUAUUUAAAGAAAACCCCUAAUGAAAGUCGUUUUUGCAAGAAAAGAUGAGGAACCUUCGUGAAAACACUUGAACGUUCAUGACAAGCACAGAUAUAAAGUAUAUCUAAAGGAAAAACCAAAGAAUCUCAGAGACUAGGAUUUCAAAGAACCCGAAAAGGUGAGAAAGGUUUUGAAAAUUAACGAUCUAACCAGAAGAGUCGUGGAUCAUACUCGAACGGGCACGGCUGGCCAGAAAACGGUCGGAGAUGACCGUAGAGAAGCCAUGAAUGGAAGUCAAGCCAAGCCUGGACUAGCUUCCUUUGAGAUCUGGUCGUGAAACCACAGAGACGAACACCCAGGAGCCCACAAGGGCCAUUGAACGUCUCCAAUGGAAAAGGGAGGCCAUGGAUCGAAGUGGGAUUGAAUAGAGGCGGCUAGGGUUUGUGAAGGUUUCAGAGAGAGUUGAGAGAGAAGAGGAGUUUGAAGGCAG
rnacentral:lncRNA from 1 species